GCAGAGGAGUCUGAAAUGACCAGAAGAUCCACGGGGAUGGAAGUGUUCUGAAGGAGGAAGGUCCCCAGUGAAAAGGAAGGAUGAGUUUGAAGCAUUACUUUCCCUGCAGUUGCAGUGCAGUGCUCUGGGAAACAGGCUGGUAUCUGUCCUCUUGAUCCCACCUUGAUUUCCAGUGCUGGAGCCUGUGUAUUCCCAGUGAAGAUUCCUCCAGUGAGUUUAACUCUCAUUGUGAAGAUACCACAGUCUAUCAACUCAUGAACAGUGAAGUGACGCCAGCACCCUUGUUCAUUGAUGUUCCAUUUUGGCCUUGAUUGUGCCAGAUCCACCCAGCGAAGUCUGAAGCCAAGAACAAACAGGGCCUCAAAAAGAGAGGCUUUCCUUGAGGCAUCCUUAUACAUCAAGGUCCUGAAGUGUGAUGCAGACAGUGCUGCAGUUUUGUGUAAGCAGUGUUUAGACAGGCUUCUCCAAGUUCAUCGGGCUUCUUGAAUAGGUGGAAAUAGCAUAUGUGCAUGUGCACACUUGCUCAAAAUCAAGGAUAUCAGCAACAGAAAUGUUACUGUGAAAAUACA